AUAGAAACUCAAAUUUCCCUUUCGGUAUCAGAAAACGCCCUAUGAUAACUGAACCAAAGCGACAUGCCCGAGUUUCCUAAUUGCUUGCGGAUUAUUUUCGAUCUACUCGCGUCUGUCGGUUACACUGGCGAUGAAAAUUCCGAUAAAUCGGCUUCUGAAAAACUCUGUGGAGGCCUGUCUUGGUGCGUUGCCGCCCUCAAUUCUGAUCCCCCUCAAAAUCACGACGGUUUUGGCGAAACCCGUACUCAAGAUGACAUUGUGUUUGAAAUUGCUGAAGCUCUGAGGUUGAUGAAAUGUCCGCACCCCAUUGAAGCCUGCCAAAUUGAAAAUCUUGAUUGCCAAACCAUAAUUUCUGUCGUACACUGGCUUGUUGAUCGUGUCCGUACAACCCGAGGGGAUAGGAAAGAUGAGAAUCAGGGGAAAUUUGAUGUGUUGAACCAGUUGCAGCGGCUACGGGAGCGGAUUGCGAAGCAAGGUGCUGAGACUAAGGUGCAAAUGUUGGUAUCACUUGUACAUUCUCAAAAGGAGCUUGAAAGGAAAGAAAUUGAGUUCCAGAUGUAUUGUAAUGCAAGGCUUUCUCAUUUGCAAACAGAUGUUGUUGAGUUAAAUGAAAAAGUAGAAAGUGGCUACGACAGCCAGACACUUUCUGAUGGAUUAAACCGUUUGUUAAGUGAAUCAGCAGAAGAAUUAAUUUCGGCUAGGAAGGAACUAGCUGCUUUACUGAGGACAAUACUAGCAGUAAGACGCCAGCUUGACAGUGUGCCUUCUCAAUCAGAACUUAUUCAAUAUGAACGGAGAUUUUCAGAGUUAUAUGCUCAUAUUCAGGGAAAACAUCAGCAAACACAAAAGUACUACGAUACCUAUAAUACGCUAUUGGAGAUAAAGGAAUUGAUGCUAAAGGAAACAUCCUUGUUGAAUUCAUUAAGUUCCCAGUUUCAAGUUGCCAUUUCAAGCACCAUGGGUCGCAUGAAACUCAUUGACUCCAUGGAGGGAAUCGUAAAGGGUAGCCGACAGAAACUGGAAAAACUGCAACUUGGGCUUGAAGAACAGCAACAAGUAUGUGAUGCUCUAAAAGAAAGUUAUACUGCAGAAAUUACAGCAGAAAGACAAUGGUUUUUUCUCUUGAAGAUUUUUCAGGAGGAAUGUUUAAAGAAUGAGAGACUUAGAAGGAAACAUAUCUGACAAAAGCCAUGUUGAUGAGCUCAGAAAUCUCAUGCCAGCAAUAGUGGAGUGCUUCUGUUGAUCGACCAAGAUAUAGGCAGUGAAGAUGGGAAGUUUUUUUAGGUUUGAUGUAGUCUGUCUGAUGCCAAACAGUUUCGUUCUCAUCCCUUUCCAUACAAAACAAAUCAAGCAACAAUGACAUUUCUGUCGGCAUCUGUAUAUGGCAUAUCCUUGUCACUCCCACUUUUAUUAUUUGGUCACGGUUGCUUUGGAUAUUAGGCAUACGAAAAUUAUCAGUCUAAGAUAGGAAGAUAAUUCUUCAACCAAGGAUAUUUAUCUGGUUGGACCACUUGGCUUUUGUUAAGUACCCAACUUGCUCAGAUUCAUUAAUUGGAUGAAAGCAAUUUUUUCA